GGAUCUUACGGUGAAUAAUCCCUGUAAAAGAUGUUUCAUAAUUAGGAAACUUUUAUAUCACUAGUGUGUUGACAAACUGGUUGUCACACUCUGUUUAGGUAACAUUUAUUGUUCCUACAUUUGUGUAUCUACUUAUUCAAAAAAUAUUUAUUAGGCAUCUAUUCUAAAUUCUGGCAGCAUUUUCUUCCUGCAUGGUUUUGGAAAGUAGGCGUUGUUACCUCAG
rnacentral:lncRNA from 1 species